rnacentral:antisense_RNA from 1 species
CUUCAGCGAGCCCAACAGGAGCGGACGAUCGGCCGGCCGGUCCUGGCCGUAGGUGGCCAGCAGCGCCUGUGCCUC